GCCAAUGGCGAUAACAAGUUGAAUCGUUGAAUGCAUCAGUUCCCCAUGGAUCACUGAAGUUAAGAAACGUUGUGCGUGGUCACUAUCCGGAUAGGUGACCAUCUGGGCUACCGCAUUCUGUUGGCU
rnacentral:rRNA from 1 species